AACCCGACUCCGUGAAGCUGGAUUCGCUAGUAAUCGCGCAUCAGCCAUGGCGCGGUGAAUACGUUCCCGGGCCUUGUACACACCGCCCGUCAAGCCAUGGGAGCCGGGAGUGCCUGAAGGCCGUGACCGCAAGGAGCGGCCUAAGGUAAAACUGGUGACUGGGGCUAAGUCGUAACAAGGUAGC
rnacentral:rRNA from 1 species